rfam:Triticum aestivum genome assembly, contig: Triticum_aestivum_CS42_TGACv1_scaffold_343756_4DL
CAGAUACUCCCUUCGUUCCGAAUUACUUGUCGCAGGUAUGGAUGUAUCUAGAUGUAUUUUAAUUCUAGAUACAUACAUUUCUACGACGAGUAAUUUGGAACGGAGCGAGUACAUA